rnacentral:rRNA from 1 species
UACAGAGGGUGCAAGCGUUGUUCGGAAUUAUUGGGCGUAAAGAGCUCGUAGGCGGUCUGUCACGUCGGCUGUGAAAUCCCGAGGCUCAACCUCGGGUCUGCAGUCGAUACGGGCAAACUAGAGUAUUGCAGGGGAGACUGGAAUUCCUGGUGUAGCGGUGAAAUGCGCAGAUAUCAGGAGGAACACCGGUGGCGAAGGCGGAUCUCUGGGCCUGUUCUGACGCUGAGGCGCGAAAGCUAGGGGAGCGAACAGG